rnacentral:rRNA from 1 species
UUCGAUUGUGCCAGCAGCCGCGGUAAUACGUAGGGAGCGAGCGUUGUCCGGAAUUACUGGGUGUAAAGGGAGUGUAGGCGGGACAGUAAGUCAGGUGUGAAAUUUAUGGGCUCAACCCAUAACCUGCAUUUGAAACUACUGUUCUUGAGUGAAGUAGAGGUUGGCGGAAUUCCUAGUGUAGCGGUGAAAUGCGUAGAUAUUAGGAGGAACAUCAGUGGCGAAGGCGGCCAACUGGGCUUUUACUGACGCUGAGGCUCGAAAGCGUGGGGAGCAAACAGGAUUAGAUACCCUGGUAGUCCACGCCCUAAACGAUGUCUACUAGUUGUUGGGCUUUUCGGAGCUUAGUAACGCAGCUAACGCGUGAAGUAGACCGCCUGGGGAGUACGGUCGC